AUGAACGCUGGCGGCGUGCCUAAUACAUGCAAGUCGAGCGAAUCUAAGGGAGCUUGCUCCCGAAGAUUAGCGGCGGACGGGUGAGUAACACGUGGGCAACCUACCUGUAAGACUGGGAUAACUUCGGGAAACCGGAGCUAAUACCGGAUAACAUAUGAGACCACAUGGUCUUAUAUUAAAAGAUGGCUUCUCGCUAUCACUUACGGAUGGGCCCGCGGCGCAUUAGCUAGUUGGUGAGGUAACGGCUCACCAAGGCAACGAUGCGUAGCCGACCUGAGAGGGUGAUCGGCCACACUGGGACUGAGACACGGCCCAGACUCCUACGGGAGGCAGCAGUAGGGAAUCUUCCGCAAUGGACGAAAGUCUGACGGAGCAACGCCGCGUGAGCGAAGAAGGUCUUCGGAUCGUAAAGCUCUGUUGUUAGGGAAGAACAAGUAUCGUUCGAAUAGGGCGGUACCUUGACGGUACCUAACCAGAAAGCCACGGCUAACUACGUGCCAGCAGCCGCGGUAAUACGUAGGUGGCAAGCGUUAUCCGGAAUUAUUGGGCGUAAAGCGCGCGCAGGCGGUCCUUUAAGUCUGAUGUGAAAGCCCACGGCUCAACCGUGGAGGGUCAUUGGAAACUGGGGGACUUGAGUGCAGAAGAGGAGAGCGGAAUUCCACGUGUAGCGGUGAAAUGCGUAGAGAUGUGGAGGAACACCAGUGGCGAAGGCGGCUCUCUGGUCUGUAACUGACGCUGAGGCGCGAAAGCGUGGGGAGCGAACAGGAUUAGAUACCCUGGUAGUCCACGCCGUAAACGAUGAGUGCUAAGUGUUAGAGGGUUUCCGCCCUUUAGUGCUGAAGUCAACGCAUUAAGCACUCCGCCUGGGGAGUACGGUCGCAAGGCUGAAACUCAA
rnacentral:rRNA from 1 species